rnacentral:rRNA from 1 species
AUUGAACGCUGGCGGCAGGCCUAACACAUGCAAGUCGAGCGGAUGAAGGGAGCUUGCUCCUGGAUUCAGCGGCGGACGGGUGAGUAAUGCCUAGGAAUCUGCCUGGUAGUGGGGGAUAACGUCCGUAAACGGGCGCUAAUACCGCAUACGUCCUGAGGGUGAACGUGGGGGAUCUUCGGACCUCACGCUAUCAGAUGUGCCUAGGUCGGAUUAGCUAGUUGGUGGGGUAAAGGCCUACCAAGGCGACGAUCCGUAACUGGUCUGAGAGGAUGAUCAGUCACACUGGAACUGAGACACGGUCCAGACUCCUACGGGAGGCAGCAGUGGGGAAUAUUGGACAAUGGGCGAAAGCCUGAUCCAGCCAUGCCGCGUGUGUGAAGAAGGUCUUCGGAUUGUAAAGCACUUUAAGUAGGGAGGAAGGGCAGUAAGUUAAUACCUUGCUGUUUUGACGUUACCAAAAGAAUAAGCACCGGCUAACUUCGUG